GGCCGACGAGGAGUCAUCAGUGAUGAUGUGCAAAGGUCGCCAAGCCGCUGUCGAUGAGUAAAGCUUCUAGUCAAACGAUUGCAGAGGACUAAUCGAUGAAAGUAGUUGCCAAUCUUGAAUCAUCAGAGAAGAUGGUGGCCAACCUUGGAUCAUCGGAGAUCUCUAUUGAUGGGCCUACUGGAUAUAGUUAUUUGGGGCUCUGGAUCUUUUCAUAAAUUUGAUCCAUACAAAAUUUUCUUCAACAUAUACCCUCUACUCUUGAGUCCGACUUCAGUUGGGCGAAGAGAGUACACCUGUCAUUUUUUAGGCCGAUGAUGUGAAAAGGGCUUUAUGAUUGAUGGGACGUGCAUGACUUUUCGAGGCAGUCUUGAGGCGGCACGAUUUAAGUCAUCAUGAUGGAAUUAAAUGUCCGUCACUUCACUAUCUGCUUUUGAAUUGUGGCACCGAUUAGCAUAACUGACGACAGUGACUGACCGAAUAGGAGAAUGGCAUAUAUGUCACAUUCUUCGACUUGUUGGAUAAGAAAUGAUUCGAUAUCUGAAGAUUAUCUUCUUCUGGCUAUAAAUAGAAGAAGAGCUUGUCCUUGAUUUCUCUGAUUGUUGCUAGAGUCUUCUAUUCUCUCUUUCUCUUGUCCAUUAUGGUAGCUUUUUGAAGCAAAGGGUGCUUCUUCUUCCGUGAUGCAACCCUUUCCGAAGGUUUUUCGAAGGCUUUUUAGUGAUUGCUUCAUUUUUUCUGUCUCCUUCCUUUGCUUCCAGGUGGGUUUUCUUUUUCACUCAUCUAUUCCUCCAUUCUUCCAUUUUUUCUUUAAGUAUCCUUCCAG
rnacentral:lncRNA from 1 species